rnacentral:ncRNA from 1 species
CCUCCCCAACGGCUUCCUGACGGGGAGGGGAUAUCAACAAUGGAGCA